rnacentral:rRNA from 1 species
AUUGAACGCUGGCGGCAGGCCUAACACAUGCAAGUAGAGCUUGCGGCGGACGGGAGAGUAAUGUAUGGGGACUGCCCGAUAGAGGGGGAUAACUCCUGGAAACGGUCGCUACUACCGCAUACUAUCGCAUAUGCCCUAUGGGAUUAGCUAGUAGGUGAGGUAAUGGCUCACCUAGGCGACGAUACCUAGGUGGUCUGAGAGGAUGACCAGCCACACUGUGACUGAGACACUGUCCAGACUCCUACGGAGGCAGCAGUGGGGAAGAUUGCACAAUGGGCGCAAGCCUGGUGCAGCCAUGCCUCGUGUGUGAAGAAGGCCUUCGGGUUGUAAAGCACUUUCAGCGAGGAGGCGUUACUCGCAGAAGAAGCACCGGCUAACUCCGUGCCAGCAGCCGCGGUAAUAC